AUUGAACGCUGGCGGCAGGCCUAACACAUGCAAGUCGAACGAGUGGCGGACGGGUGAGUAAUGUCUGGGAAACUGCCUGAUGGAGGGGGAUAACUACUGGAAACGGUAGCUAAUACCGCAUACCAUCGGAUGUGCCCAGAUGGGAUUAGCUUGUUGGUGGGGUAACGGUGCACAAAGGCGACGAUCCCUAGCUGGUCUGCGAGGAUGACCAACCACACUGGAACUGAGCCAAGGUCCAUACUCCUACGGUAGGCAGCAGUGGGGAAUAUUGCACAAUGGGCGCAAGCCUGAUGCAGCCAUGCCGCGUGUAUGAAGAAGGCCUUCGGGUUGUAAAGUACUUUCAGCGGGGAGGCGUUACCCGCAGAAGAAGCACCGGCUAACUCCGGGCCAGCAGCCGGGGUAAUAC
rnacentral:rRNA from 1 species